CGCAGGAACCCAUACGAGCCCCUCGGUCCGCUAGAUCCGUGCAAUUCCUUAUAUAGACUCGGCCGCAGCCAGCGGCAGGGCCGUAGCCGCCCAUUAUUCUCCAAACAGGUACCGGGCGGGCGGGGGCCGCGCUCCGGCCUCGGCCCUGUCGCCGCAGGAACUGUCCAGACAAUACCCACCAGCAGACGGUCGCCGCGGAGCGGGCGGGCGGGCGGGCGCAGCAUCGCCCCCCAGAUAAGCAGAAAUGCAACCAACUUCCACCGUCUCUCCCCACCGCAAAGGGCGACUGUGCAACCCAACACAUGUUCGGGGCUCGCUCGCUCGCUCUCCGGUUAUUAUUGUUAUUUUUCUAAACUCUCACGCCAGGCAGAUGGGUGUGUGUGUGUGUGUGUGUGUGUGCGCGCGCCCCUCCCCGCGCAGCAUCAGCACUCAUUAGUAAACCCGGCGGCCGCCGCCGCCGCCGGGCGGGCAGCGGCGACCCGCGUCCGUCGGUCCGGCCGCCCCCCUCCCCCACACUCCUUCCACCCGAGACCCCGAGCGCCGUCCAAGCUCCCUCCGCCGGUUUCACGCCCCGCGCGUCCGGCCCAGGUAACAACUUCCCCAAACCGAAAGAGAACAAGGGAGGCGCACGCUCGGCAGCCCAUCCCCGCGCAGAGGAGGCGUCCUCCCGGGCGGGGGGACCUGUCUGCGGUUCUUCCCGGUCCCGAGACCAGGUGUUGUCAGAGCACCAGGAUGGAAGCAGUGGAGUUCUCAUAAGAAUCCCAGGAUGCACCCAGACAUCACUGGACCAUUUUUUCAGAAGAGCAGAUAGAGCUGGAUCCAGCACAGAGUCAGAACCUGUGCCAUCCACAUCAGACAUGAGUGAAAUGGCAGCUUGCCCUCCGUCUCCCAUUGCUGAUGAUCCUUCGGCUACACCAUCGCCCACCUCCUCUCCCUCCGCCAGUCAGUGACUCUUCUCGCCUGUUCCCUCGAUGCCUGUGCGCCAGCUGUACUUUUUAAGGUAUUGCACUGUAAGAUUAAAAAUGUUUUCUUGGUGUUUGCUUUUGUGUUUUUUAUGUAAUUAUUUGUAUGCAAAGUGUCAUAAACCUGUUACAAUCCAGUACUAUACAGCCAAUUGUGUUAGUUGGGUGCCUGGGGCUAACUUUGUUGGACUUAUGAGCAAAUUGGACUUACAAACACGCUCUUGGAAUGGAACUCAUUCAUCUGUCAGGAACUUACUGUAUUUGACUUAAUUCCCCAGGGGUCAGAGGUACACUGCUGCUGCUGCUGCUAAGUCACUUCAGUCGUGUCCAACUCUGUGCAACCCCAUAGACAGCAGCCCACCAGGCUCCCCCGUCCCUGGGAUUCUCCAGGCAAGAACACUGCAGUGGGUUGCCAUUUCCUUCUCCAGUGCAUGAAAGUGAAAAGUGAAAGUGAAGUCGCGACUGAUUUCCACCUGAGUGAGGCUCAACCCCUGCCACAGCCACUGCUAACAGUAAACAUUUAUUGAGUGUUUACCUGCAUUCAUGAGUAUUCAGGGUUUCUGUGUUCACGACAACCAUAUGAAGUAGCUGUAUUCAUCUUCGUCGCACAGAGGGAGA
rnacentral:lncRNA from 1 species